UACGUAGGGAGCAAGCGUUGUCCGGAAUCAUUGGGCGUAAAGCGCGCGUAGGCGGCCUCGUAAGUCCGUUGUGAAAGUCAAAGGCUCAACCUUUGAAAGCCGAUGGAUACUGUGAGGCUAGAGUCCGGAAGAGGCGAGUGGAAUUCCUGGUGUAGCGGUGGAAUGCGCAGAUAUCGGGAAGAACACCCGUGGCGAAGGCGGCACUCUGGGACGGUACUGACGCUGAGACGCGAAAGCGUGGGGAGCGAACAGG
rnacentral:rRNA from 1 species